AAGAAAUAUUAAAAAAGGACACAGAAAAUUCCAGUGGAACAAGGGGGAUUCUCAGUUUCUAGGAAAUAACAUUUCACUUGCACUAGAUUGGCAAUGUGCUCUGUGUACAGUGAAGGUGUCCUGCUGGUUGCAGAAUCCUACUUUUGCUUGGUGACUGUUUUUUCAGUUGAGUGUUGGCAACAGAAUUAAGGAACCAUUGUUAUUCCUCAUCUUUGUAUCUGGAUGAACUUGAGAUGCUGAGACCAUGAAAAAGAAAAAAUUGUGUAGGAGAAAAGAUAAUAGAAUGGAAAUUGCAUCUGCAAAAUACAAGAGACAGUUGUAAUAUUUUGUGAAAUGCUGCUCAGUGAACUGAAACAUCUCUCACAAGAUGAGUUCUCUGCCUGGAAGAUGCAUCCAAUGUGCAUAAAGACUCCAGACUUCCUCAAGGUCCCCAAAGUGUUUGACAAGAUUUCCCACCUUUGUACCCCAAAGACAAGUUAAACCUGCUGGCUCUCACAGAGGCUAUGGAACAGAGAAAGGUUCUCCUGGAAUGAUCAGCAUUCUCAGCCACAGCAAUAUCUUGGUCCAGUGACUUGGAAACAUUUGAAAUGUAAACCCAAAUGACACUUGGUUUGUGGAGCUGCUUCCCAUGGUGGCCCACGCCUUUCCCAGAAGCUUAAUGUUCAGUGUGAGACGAUUUCAGGACAGAAUUGCAUUCACUCUGGUGAUGGAGUGACCACAGUUUGUCUGACAACUAAUUUAUUUAGCAUCCUCUGGUACUAUUUCAAACGCACUGUUGGGACAGAGGAGAUUUCUGAAUUACCAUUUGUAUGAACCUAAAGAGCAAAACCAAACCAAAAAAAAAAAAAAAAGGAAAAAAAG
rnacentral:lncRNA from 1 species